AGGUAGCAUAAUCACUUGUUUCUUAAAUAGAGACUAGUAUCAACGGCAUCACGAAGACUAUACUGUCUCCCCCCUAAAAUCAAUGAAACUGAUCUCCUCGUGAAGAAGCGAGGAUAUAUAUAUAAGACGAGAAGACCCCAUGGAGCUUUAAACGAACUUCAAUUGUUCCUACCCAUAACAUACAAAUUGAACACCCCUGAUAGUUAGUUUUAGGUUGGGGUGACCGCGGAGUAAAACAAAACCUCCACAAUGAAUGAAACAAAAUUCUUAUAAAAGAACCACAAUUCUAAUAAUCAAAAAUUUGACAUAAAUUGACCCAAACACUUGAUCAAUGAACCAAGUUACCCUGGGGAUAACAGCGCAAUCCAUUUUAAGAGCCCAUAUCGACAAAUGGGUUUACGACCUCGAUGUUG
rnacentral:rRNA from 1 species